GUCGACGCCGGAAAGGGGGAAAGGUUUACGCGAAUGCGCUAUAGACGGCGGCGUGCGUAGCGAGUGGCUUCCAUCAGUGUCUUUAUAACUGCGCAAUAGGAUAUCUUUCAUCUCUCGACUCGAUCCUCACAAUGUUUUAUAUCUUCAUUUGUCAGAGUGGGUGGAAAGUAACACAAAGUUCAAAAUGCAUCAAGCGCCUACAGUUGUUUAGCAAUAUAUGUUGGUCAGCAGCAGAGAGGGAUGCAUCCCCACCUAUAAAAAGGUGUGCCAUUGAGAAGAGGACUGAAGAUGAAUUGUGAACUGUAGUUAUUGCGAGCCAUGGUUUGAUUGAUUAGCUGAGGAUGAAUAUCCAACAAAGCCAGUAGUCUUCCAAAAGAGUUUUUCUCCUUUUUUUCCCUAAAUCGUAUGUUCCCCUGAAUGGGAGGCGGUCCUCAGAGCCCCCACCAUCCCCACGGAGCAGCUUGGUGACCUCUGUCUUUUAGUGUGACUGUACUGGCUGUACAGGCCCCACACAUCUGCUUCAGCUUACUGAGCCACCAGCAGGCCGAUACCAGCACAGCCCCCAGUGUGUUCCAGUGUAGAGGAACCCGGAGAGGGUUACACUGCUCUACUGGACCUGAUUGAAGGUCACCACUGUUGUGUUCUUGGGGCAGUUUGAGGCAAGUUGAAGUCCAGAGUUUGACAAGGAAUGUCUGAUAGCUUUAAGAUGAUUGUCUGUACUGUACUGUAGAUGGCUUGGUUGUACUGUAGAUGGCUUGGUUGUUUAGCAGCAAAACCCAUGUGUGCACAUUUCGGGGGCAAAACAGAUGGGGUUGGCAUCGAUUGUUGACCAAAUUAAAUUAUAUUAAUACAGGACCUUGAGUAAAUACUGGACAUUGAGGAUAUACAGGAUAUUAAAUGUUUUUUGAAAUGAUAAAUAAAUGACAUAAAUAAAAAUGGAAAUACUUAGUUAGAAAGCUAUGUCAUAUUAGUCCUGAUGUGACUCAAAACAAGACAUUAUAUUAAGUCGAGCAGAACGAGCAGAAACAAGCCAUCUACCUUUAACUGCAUGGCAGCUUCUUUCCGUUGUUGCUGUAGCUAUUUGACUAAUUUUGUGCUGUCAGGCCAUCUAUUGGCGUGACAGAUGACUCAGAUUGGCAGAAGUCUAUUAGACACUCUUGUUCUGGACCAUUUUAACCACGCUGGUUGGUCACUGAGGCGAAUAUGGCCACCGCUAGUUUGAAAAGGUUACUUACUUCCUGUGGAGAGUAAGGGGAGGGGCAGUCUGGCUCCUGACUGGAAAGGGAGAGAGACAGAGAGAGAGAGAGAGGGAGAAAAAGAGAGAAUCAAAGAUAGGGAGAAACAGAGAGACACUGAGAGAAAGGGUGGAGAAUAAGUUAUCUAACAGAAUCAUGGAUAUUCAUUAGCAGCCUAACUGGUUUAGGAGAGUGAUUGAAUAAUCACACUGCAUGGAGCCAGUGAUUCUAAUAUUGUGUGCAGUAGUGAGGGGAUCUUCAAUUCUUUAUGAACAUCUUAAGGGCCAGAUCACAGUUAAAAGGCCACUUAUUCUCUUAGUUUUUUUUCUUUCUUUCCAAAGCAAAUGUAUUAUUAAUAAGAGCUUUUAGGCCUUUCCCUUCAUACAACCCACACAACAGAAUCUGAUGUCAUUAAUGGGUUUUGGUUAAAGAUAAUGGGGAGGUCAUAAUAACAAUGGACAAUGACACUCAAAAAGAUUGUCUCUUACACUCACAGAAAAAACACUGUGUCAGACAGUGCCAGAUUUCUCCAACUGUGUUGAGGAGAAAAUUUUGAUUUUGUUAGGCGUAAACACAGAGACAAUAGAUCAUGCAGCUGAAUAUGUCCUGGCCUGUCAUUAUAAAAGACAAUAGCCUUCCAGAUCUCUCAUUUGUUCAUUGUUUGUUUUCUUUGUUGUGUACAAUCUACAUUUUGUUUAUUUUUUUUUAUUUUUUCUAGUCUGUAUUUUUGUUGCUGCCUAAAUAUGUUCGUUUUGGCCACAGUGGCGGCCGUCUAUUCGGGUCAGUUACAACCUAUUGAAAUGUCAGGGAGAGAGAGACAUGUACAAUCCUCACAGUGGUAAUUGAUCUAAUUGAAAAACCACUUGAUAGCCAGAGGGGAUACAAACCUUUCUUAUGCUUUAAGUUCCCUACAAGCUGGGGUAUGUACACACACACACACACACACGGCAGGGGAUGCAGAUAAUCUGGUGUAACACACACACACACACACACACAGUGAAGGAAAUAUCUCUGUAUGUGAGAGUCUUGCUCUUGGCUCUGGGGUAAAUUAUAUCAUUGGUUGCCUAGGAUACAGAACACAGUGUGUGAGUAAGAGAGAGACAAAGAGUAGCAGACACGUGGAGUUGCAGAGAGAGUAGGGGAGAGGAGAGAGACCUGGAGAUACAGAGAGAGUAGGGGAGAGAAGAGAGACCUGGAGAUACAGAGAGAGUAGGGGAGCGGAGAGAGACCUGGAGAUACAGAGAGAGUAGGGGAGAGGAGAGAGACCUGGAGAUACAGAGAGAGUAGGGGAGAGGGGGCAAGUUGGGCAGGACAGAGGAAUCAGGCUUGUUGAAGUGGAGCUGGAGUAGGAGAGGUGAUAUGGGUGUAAAGGAGUGGCCAGAGAGGAAAAAAUGGAUAAUGAAAUCCAACUGGCUGGUCAAAGGGGGCUGGGCCAUAUUCACUCUCCGCUCUCUCCUGUCUCUCUUGGUCCAUGCCUUCACUUUCUUUGUCAGCUUGCCAAGGGAUGUGUGUGUGUGUGUGUGCGUGAGUGUGUGAGUGCGUGCGCACGUGCGUGCAUGUCUGUGUGUGAGAGAGACAGAGAGGGGGAAGAGGUGAGAACAAGAGAAGAUGGAAGAAUGAAAUCGAUAUGCAUGCCUUCUUCAUAGACAAUAAUCUCCCUCAUGUUCGUCCUUCUCUGUUCUGCCUGACACUGGUUUCUCCUCCCUCUCCUCUCUGUUCUGCCUGACACUGGUUUCUCCUCCCUCUCCUCUCUGUUCUGCCUGACACUGGUUUCUCCUCCCUCUCCUCUCUUUUCUGCCUGACACUGGUUUCUCCUCCCUCUCCUCUCUGUUCUGCCUGACACUGGUUUCUGCUCCCUCUCCUCUCUGCCUGACACUGGUUUCUCCUCCCUCUCCUCUCUGUUCUGCCUGACACUGGUUUCUCCUCCCUCUCCUCUCUGUUCUGCCUGACACUGGUUUCUCCUCCCUCUCCUCUCUGUUCUGCCUGACACUGGUUUCUCCUCCCUCUCCUCUCUGUUCUGCUUGACACUGGUCUCUCCUCCCUCUCCUCUCUGCCUGACACUGGUUUCUCCUCCCUCUCCUCUCUGCCUGACACUGGUUUCUCCUCCCUCUCCUCUCUGUUCUGUCUGACACUGGUUUCUCCUCUCUCUCCUCUCUGUUCUGUUUGACACUGGUCUCUCCUCCCUCUCCUUUCUGUUCUGUCUGACACUGGUUUCUCCUCCCUCUCCUCUCUGGUCUGCCUGACAUUGGUUUCUCCUCCCUCUCCUUUCUGUUCUGUCUGACACUGGUUUCUCCUCCCUCUCCUCUCUGUUCUGCCUGACACUGGUUUCUCCUCCCUCUCCUCACUGUUCUGCCUGUCACUGGUCUCUCCUCCCUCUCCUCUCUGUUCUGCCUGACACUGGUUUCUCCUCCCUCUCCUCUCUGUUCUGCCUGACACUGGUUUCUCCUCCCUCUCCUCUCUGUUCUGCCUGACACUGGUCUCUCCUCCCUCUCCUCUCUGUUCUGCCUGACACUGGUUUCUCCUCCCUCUCCUCUCUGUUCUGCC
ensembl:lncRNA